UUAUGGGUAGCCUAAUCGAUCACAAGCCCAAUUCACAUCAUUUACUUUAGGUCCAGCACAUAACAAUGCUAAUCCAUGUGUAAAGCAGUACCUCACUCAGCCAUUUUGAUAAAGGCAAACAAAACAAAUUGGACCGUUCAUCAUCUUUUCAGAAUUAUAAAGUGGUCACAAUACAAUAUACCAAAUGUAUUUUGGCUUGGAGCGUGUUGGGACCGCAUACUGCUGCUUUUGGGCAAAGGUCCUCUAUUGCAUUAAAUGUAGUACUUUUAAAGCUUUGGCAGCUUGUUUGAAGGGCUGUUCAUAGCUGGAAGAACAGCUGGAACUCCACACGUUUCUUGUAUGCUGGCAGCUAGGAUUAGGUAGCUAGGAUUUUUGGUGAGAAGUUUGCUUAUAAAUACAGACAAUGUUGCCACUCUUCCUCAUUCACCAAUUCCCUUAGCAAUAGCAAAUACUCCUUUACUCAAAAACAUGCAAAGUUGCAAACUUGCAUUUGCUCAAUUUUCUUGAAAUCUUACAAAGCAGAUGCAGAGAAAGCUAUGUAUACCUUCCUUCAUGGCAGUUUUGGAACCCCUGGCCCUCGGAUUCGAAGCUUGUUUUGCCCAGUCGAAGUUCUUGAUCCCCCGUAUCUACGUCUCAAGGCUCAAAGGCUUAUCAAGAAGCUCGUCCUCAGCAGCAUCAGUUCUUCUUUAACUUUCUGUACAGCUUCAUAGAGUGGCUUUUGUUUCUUUUUCUUCAAAUACUUUCCAGUGUAGUGAAUGAAGCGUUCAACGGCGAGAGAAAUGGCGACGAUAACCGUGCACACGGCGGCGACCACCCACGUCGGAGUGAACUCCAAGCUGGUCCCUUCUCCUUCCCCGCCAGCCAUUUUCCUUGAGUAUUUCCGCAGAACCCCACUUCAAAUUAAGACGCGGAAAGGCCAAAAAGAGGCAGAAAGCACAGAGAUUUCUAGAUGCAUAAAAAAAAUAGUGGUGUCAGUGGAAAAGAGAGAUCGAGCUUUGGCAGUCAAGGGCGAUGGAGAGGAGGGCGUUGAUUUGUCGGUGGAAGGAGGAGAGCAGGGAGCUUCUCACUGCCGUUCGCCGGAGAUUGAGGAGUCAGUGGCCUUGAACUUGGGGUGGUCCAGGCUGGAGAGCGCCAAGGAGGCUGUCGUUGCUGGGAAUUUGAGGUUAGGGCACGACGGCGGCGAGGAGCCGCUGUCACCGCCAGAAAUCGAGGGAGAAGAGUGUGGGCGAUUUGGGGCCUAGGGUUUGCUGAGGCGGCUGAAUUUGGGCGGCGACAGAGGGGAUGUAACUGCGCAGCGGCGGCCCCAACAACCGGGACGCGACUUCGCCGGAUUUCAGAGACUGAGAGAACGGCAGCGGGAGUGGCUCCUUCGGUGGGGCUGAGUUGGAAGGCAGCGGACCAUGAUCGGAAGGAGAAGUCGGCCUCAUCCAUGGCGAUUCUUCACCAAUUUUGGAAUAACCGACAGCAGAGGGUUGUGCGGCGGCAACGCCAAAAGCCGAAGCGCAAUCUCGCCGGAUUCAGCGGCGACGAUUCGCGAUGAUUUGAGGCACCGGCCUUACUGAUUUUGAAGGAGGCGCCGCCGUUCGCCGGAGGUCCAGAGGGAGGUCCGUGAUAGCGAGGUUUUAAGAGAGUGGAAGAGGGCGCUGAGACGAAGCGGCGAUUCCCAGAGAGAGAGAGAUGGUUUCAGGCUGAUGGGCCUCUAUUUUGAGAGAGAAAUUUCUGAGUUGGGCCUUUUUCUUUGGAGAAAAGUAAAAUUGGGCCUUUUUUUUUUAUUCAACCAAUUAUCUAAACAGUUGGCGGCAGCAAAAGCUUGAUGAUAGCGACCUUGAAACAUUAUACAAUAUUGGCGAAUUAACCAACUUUAUGGAAGAUUUUGCCCCAAACGAGAUGCUUUGAGUAUUUGCAAAGUUCGGAGUCUAUUGUCAUCUUUCUUUCAAUCUUGACAUCUCUGUCAGCCCGACUAAAGACCAUCCUAGAGAAUUCAUCCAAAAGUCUAGCAGCAGCCCAUCUAAGACCUUAUUUGAGUGAUGUUUACUUUGCACUUCAGGUGGCUCAAUUGGCUUUUAAUCAGAUUUCGGGUGCGCUCGGAUCUGGGCCAUUGUGAGUCUAACCUUUGAAGAUUGCUGGUUACAUCUUCUAUUUGCGUGUAUCUGAGCAGGCUCAACGCCAGAUGACUCAAUUCUUUGACAGGUCUUGGGUGCGCUCAGGCCUGGGAUUGUUUGAAUCUGGUUUGAGUGAGGUUGUUGUUAUGUUUGGCAUCUCACGAAGUUGGGAGAAUUCUGCACAACGGCUCGAGAAGAUUGAGUAUUUUCUUCUUGAUGCUUAAGCCAAGGAGAAUGAAGCCAUCGUCCGAAUUGCUUUGAUCAAGGAAGUGCUUGCUAUGAUAGAGAGGUGGAAGACAGAGAUGACGUUGUCCUUCAAGCAAGAUAGUGUCUCCUUUCAUAUUGUCCGAGGUGUAAUCCCAGAAUUCAAAAGAGAUUUUGACAAACAUAAAGUUGCACAUGUUGAUGAGGAAAUGCUGCGGAAUUUUGAAGACUUCAGAGUCACUUUUGAUCUCUGCUCAGAGAACUUUGGAGGAUCAAGACCCAUUUACUUAGUAUUGGUGCAAACCGCAGUUUCUAUCAUUUCUCUCUUGAUGAUUCUUAUUUGGUUUGUGAUGGAUAUUUUGACAUCUUCUCCAAAUGCUUGUGCUUCUUUUGAUGGCUUGAUUUUCUUCCCAAUUUGAGACAUAUUCGGCUUCAUAUAAUCAACUUAAAUCAUAACUUUGAUGAUAUAAAUUGAAAAGAGCCAAACACAAUUCAUGACUGAACCUAGAAAUUAUCUAAGCUGCCUACGUACCCUUUUGAAAGGGAUCAAGUCAAAACGUAGUUCAUAGGAUCAACAGGUGUUUGAGAUUGGGUGCCGUGCACAGUUUAUACUCAUGCGGGCCAGGAGUAACAUGCAGUUUAGGCUCGUGCGUCAAGGAGCUGUCUUCAUACGCUUCAUUUUGUUGUUUUUCUUCAUUUCUGGUUUCUCAUCUGACUCAUCUUUUCGGCUUUUCUGCUUUUCA